rnacentral:rRNA from 1 species
UACGGAGGGAGCUAGCGUUGUUCGGAAUUACUGGGCGUAAAGCGCACGUAGGCGGCUUUGUAAGUUAGGGGUGAAAGCCCGGAGCUCAACUCCGGAAUUGCCUUUAAGACUGCAUCGCUUGAAUCCGGGAGAGGUGAGUGGAAUUCCGAGUGUAGAGGUGAAAUUCGUAGAUAUUCGGAAGAACACCAGUGGCGAAGGCGGCUCACUGGACUGGUAUUGACGCUGAGGUGCGAAAGCGUGGGGAGCAAACAGG